rnacentral:rRNA from 1 species
GACGAACGCUGGCGGCGUGCUUAACACAUGCAAGUCGAACGGAAGGGCCCUGCUUUUGUGGGGUGCUCGAGUGGCGAACGGGUGAGUAACACGUGAGUAACCUGCCCUUGACUUUGGGAUAACUUCAGGAAACUGGGGCUAAUACCGGAUAGGAGCUCCUGCUGCAUGGUGGGGGUUGGAAAGUUUCGGCGGUUGGGGAUGGACUCGCGGCUUAUCAGCUUGUUUGUGGGGUAGUGGCUUACCAAGGCUUUGACGGGUAGCCGGCCUGAGAGGGUGACCGGCGACAAUGGGACUGAGAUACGGCGCAGACGCCUACGGGAGGCAGCAGUGGGGAAUAUUGCACAAUGGGCCGAAGCCUGAUGCAGCAACGCCGCGUGCGGGAUGACGGCCUUCGGGUUGUAAACCGCUUUCGCCUGUGACGAAGCGUGAGUGACGGUAAUGGGUAAAGAAGCACCGGCUAACUACGUG